UGCGUAGGUGGUGAGGUAAGUCGGAUGUGAAAGCUCCGAGCUCAACUCGGAAAUGGCAUUGGAAACUACCUUGCUCGAGGGUUUGAGGGGGGACGUGGAAUACUUGGUGUAGCAGUGAAAUGCGUAGAUAUCAAGUAGAACACCAGUGGCGAAGGCGAGUCCCUGGAAAACUCCUGACACUGAGGCACGAAAGCUAGGGGAGGCAAACA
rnacentral:rRNA from 1 species